GUGGAGAUGAGGAGGACGGGGGGAGGUGUGGAGGAGAAUCUCAGAUGCCGGUGGAUCAGGGUUCCUGUCACCAGGUGAGUGCCUGCAGCUGCCCUGGCUCGUGGCUUCUGUGGCCUGCAGGGUCUGCUGCUUUCUGGCAUUUGUGGGUGCCUUUAGCCUUGUCCACAGGAGGAGGCUGCUUCUGCAGAGCAGGGCCCCCGACAGGCCUUAGCAAACCCCUGAGGACCUUGGACUUGAGGACCCUCCACAAGGAAAGGUGGGGGGCAGGGCUGGCCAGAGGGGCUCUUUGUGUAGCUCUUGCUGGGGGUGCCAGGCCCUCAACUGGAUGUGAGAAGGCGGCCCCGGGGCACAGCUGGGAUGGCCAUGCUGGAGCCGGCUCCAAGUCCCCUCCGCCUUCGGGGACAGAGGACACAGUGCAGAGGCCUGGCCUUGAAUCCAUGUGGCUUUUCUACAGGCUGUGGGUGAAGACCACCCAAGGAUUCUGGGUGAGCUCCAGACCGUGAGCUUCCGGUGGCUGAGGGGGGCAGCAGCGGCGGCCACAUCUCAGGAGCCCGUCUAGGGCCUGUCCUCUCUGGUGGGUGAGGGGGGCAGCGGCGGCCACAUCUCAGGAGCCCGUCUAGGGCCUGUCCUCCAGAAAAGCAGGGGCAGAGACACGAGGCAGCAGCCCCCGGAGACCUCCCGCACGUGGCCAGCCAGCAGGCGGGGCCGCAUCAGCCUCCUGACGGGAGGAGUCCCAGAUGCAGCCUCAGUUCCUGGGCCCUGGAAGCUGCCUGCAUGGGCUGGCAGCCGCUUGACCAGGCUCAGCCAGGGAGGCAUUUCCAGAAAGCCUCCUUCUCGUCCCGAGAGCUGCCUGUGUUCUGUGCUCACCGGGCCUGCGGUCGGCACAGAGUGUGGUUUAGGGCCGCUGCUCUAGGGGCUGGGGAGGGUGAAACCUGCAUGACCAGUGGCACGAUGCAUCCUGCUACCUCCGGAGACUCCUUAAAGCGUGGUGAUGGCCGAGCACGUGGAGGCCCUGAAGCAACCCAGCCCAUUCUGGGCGAGGAGGGGAACUGAACUCCCCGGGAGCGAGAAGUCCUGGGGCUGAGGCUGAGCUGAGUGGAGUCUGGAGCAGAGAGGAUUCAGGGCGACCUCUGUCCCAGGCUCUCUGUGCACCCAGGAUCCACCCAGACCACAGGAGCUGACAGUUGAGGCCGCGUGCAGGACACCAGGGAAGAUGAGGGGCCUCUCUGACUUCCUCCUCCUCCUCUUCCUCCUCUGCCAGCUCCAGGUCUGUCCACCACCUUUCCCUUAUCCCCACAUUGCUGCAACCUCACCCUUCCCUCCACAUUCUUAUUAUCCAAGAGAGCAAGUAAAGCACAGUAUUUAGUUGAGUUUGUUUUUCAUUGAGAUAAAUUGGCGUGUAACAAAACUAAGAAUAAAAUCUAAUUAGUGAUAAUCCAUUAAUCAGGCUAACAUGUAAUCUGGAUUAGGGAACAUUGUAUCUUUGUCUGCAUCUUUGAAACAGACGACUUUCAUGCAUAUCUAUCAGUGAGAAAACCAGACGCCAAUGUUUUUGCGAUGCUGUAGUGACUGACUGUACAAGACUCAUUUACAAUGAACACAGUAACUGAGAAUGGAACGUUAGUGAAUAAGAUUUCUUUUCCAUAAAUGAAGAUGUCUUAAAAUCCUGUUACCCUGAAA